GGUUGGCCUUGUUAAAGGACAGAGUUGGUCUGGGUUUCUUGGGGCCCUCCCAGUGCCAGUGUGUGGUCUGUGGCUCCACUAAGGAGGCAGAUGUGCUGUGCACAGGAGAACUGUCUGUGACCCCGGAUCCAUGCACAGGUUGGAGACAUGUUCUAAGAAAGAGGUGGCUGCCCUGCCCAGUGUCUCUCCGCAUUUCCUUCUUGUAUACCACCAACCAGAAGCAGCAGGAGAUAGGUCAGUUCAGGAUUCCCUCUACACCACAACUUCAAGCACUAUGAAGGCAUCUCUCUGAUUACUGAAGACUUUGAACCUCCUUUCACUGGCUCAUUGGCCAUUGAGGUGGAAUUGCUGGAUCACCUGGGCCACCUGAUGCAAAGAGCUGACUCGUUGGAAAAGACCUUAAUGCUGGGAAAGACAGAGGGCAAGAUGAAAAGAGGGUGACAGAGGAUGAGAUGGUUGGAUGGCAUCACUGACUCAAUGGACAUGAGCUUGAGGAAACUCAGGGAGAAAGUUUAGGAGAGGUAAGCAUGGUGUGCUGCAGUUCAUGGGGUUGCAAACAGUCGGACAUGACUUAGCUACUGAAUAACAAUGGUAGUUUUAUAUUUAAUUUUUUUGAGGAACCUCCAUACUGUUUUUUGUAGAGGCUGUAUCAAUUUAUAUUCCCACCAACAGUGCACAGGUUUCCAUUUUCUCCCCUAGUGGGACAUAUUUUGUCUCAGGUUACACAUAGUCUG
ensembl:lncRNA